rnacentral:rRNA from 1 species
UGGGGAAUAUUGGACAAUGGGCGCAAGCCUGAUCCAGCCAUGCCGCGUGAGUGAUGAAGGCCCUAGGGUUGUAAAGCUCUUUCACCGGUGAAGAUAAUGACGGUAACCGGAGAAGAAGCCCCGGCUAACUUCGUGCCAGCAGCCGCGGUAAUACGAAGGGGGCUAGCGUUGUUCGGAUUUACUGGGCGUAAAGCGCGCGUAGGCGGACUAUUAAGUCAGGGGUGAAAUCCCGGGGCUCAACCCCGGAACUGCCUUUGAUACUGGUAGUCUUGAGUUCGAGAGAGGUGAGUGGAAUUCCGAGUGUAGAGGUGAAAUUCGUAGAUAUUCGGAGGAACACCAGUGGCGAAGGCGGCUCACUGGCUCGAUACUGACGCUGAGGUGCGAAAGCGUGGGGAGCAAACAGG